rnacentral:lncRNA from 1 species
AAAACAAUAGAAACCUGUGAAAAAAACGUUAGAUGUUGUUCAGUUUCUGUUUCAGGCAAAACACGUUUUUUUUUUUUUGUUUUUUUUUUACAGAAAUCAGAGACACUGAGCAGAGUGUGGUAAACCAGUUCUUUCUGCUCUACUCUGUAACGAUUGUGGUGAUUCUAGUGCUUUCUGUUCCAGUACUGAUUAAAACCAUCUGCAGGAAAGAGUAUUCUCUGCGAGACAAGGUAAGAAUGAACAAACACUUGGUUCAUUACUUUACAAAUAUUAAUGUGCAUUAAACUCAGUCACUGAUUUGUCUGUAGGACACCCUCACCACUGUGUUUUAUGAAGAAGCAGAAGAUUCCAGUCUGCAGGAAUAGAGCUUCCCACCGAUUCCACUGCGAGGGCCUUUAACAGUCUUCAGUUAUUCUAUUUUAUUAAAUCAAACUAAAAUCUUAAAAGUAAAUCUUUAAUUUAAAGAGAGAUCAUUUAAUGUUUAUCUUUCACAAACCAGUAAUAAUUUACAUGUACGUCACAUAUGAAUAAAGUGUUGUGUUAAAUUGAAAAAGUAUAUUUU